rnacentral:rRNA from 1 species
GACGAACGCUGGCGGCGUGCUUAACACAUGCAAGUCGAACGGAAAGGCCUCUUUCGGGGGGUACUCGAGUGGCGAACGGGUGAGUAACACGUGAGUAACCUGCCCUUGACUUUGGGAUAACUUCAGGAAACUGGGGCUAAUACCGGAUAGGAGCUCCUGCUGCAUGGUGGGGGUUGGAAAGUUUCGGCGGUUGGGGAUGGACUCGCGGCUUAUCAGCUUGUUGGUGGGGUAGUGGCUUACCAAGGCUUUGACGGGUAGCCGGCCUGAGAGGGUGACCGGCCACAUUGGGACUGAGAUACGGCCCAGACUCCUACGGGAGGCAGCAGUGGGGAAGAUUGAACAAUGGGUGGAAGCCUGAUGCAGCAACGCCGUGUGCGGGAUGACGGCCUUCGGGUUGUAAACCGCUUUCGCUCAUGACGAAGCUUUGUGUGACGGUAGUGGGUAAAGAAGCACCGGCUAACUACGUG